rfam:Ovis aries breed Texel chromosome 11, whole genome shotgun sequence.
UCCCUGGUGGCUCAGAGGUUAAAGCGUCUGCCUCCAAUGCAGGAGACCUGGGUUUGAUCCCUGGGUUGGGAA